rnacentral:lncRNA from 1 species
CGCUUUCUUUUCUUCCUCUGGAGCAGUUAUGGCGGCGGCGAAGACCCUGAACCCCAAGGCCAAGGUGGCCGGAGCGCAGGCGGCGCUGGCGUUCAACAUUAGCGGGGCGCGGGGUCUGCAGGACGUGCUGAGGACCAACCUGGGGCCCAAAGGGACCAUAAAGAUUCUUGUUUCUGGCGCUGGAGACAUCAAGCUUACUAAAGACACAGGAGUUGACGAUCAGCCCUGGCCAACAUGGUGAAACUCAGUCUCUACUAAAAAUACAAAAAUUAGCCGGGCACGGUCCUGCACAGUGCGCUGCUUCACGAAAUGGUGAGAGGUGCUCUGCUAGGUCAGAAAUGUCUUGAUUUUCCGUAGAACUUUUGCUUUGUAGAAAGAUUUGCAAUGUCCAUUCUCAAGGUAGGAGAACAUUCAGAAGUGACAUGUAACAGUGACAGUAAUAGUACUGACUGUGCCUGGAGUCUGACAGCCCUGUCUUUGAAUCCCUGCUUUUUUGCCAUUCACAGUCUG